rnacentral:rRNA from 1 species
CAGUAGCCGCGGGAAUACGAAGGGGGCUAGCGUUGCUCGGAAUCACUGGGCGUAAAGGGUGCGUAGGCGGGUCUUUAAGUCAGGGGUGAAAUCCUGGAGCUCAACUCCAGAACUGCCUUUGAUACUGAAGAUCUUGAGUUCGGGAGAGGUGAGUGGAACUGCGAGUGUAGAGGUGAAAUUCGUAGAUAUUCGCAAGAACACCAGUGGCGAAGGCGGCUCACUGGCCCGAUACUGACGCUGAAGCACGAAAGCGUGGGGAGCAAACAGGAUUAGAUACCCACGUAGUCCCUGUCUCUUAUAC